UCCGUUAAUUAGCAGGUGCGCAAACUCGUAGCUGGUCGCCUACGACUUAUUUACAUAUGGCGGCCAAGUGUGAACUUUCUCUUUCGGCAAAAAUAUUGAAUUAAUGAAAUGAGAUUUAUGUUGAAAAUGGGAAGCUAAAAAUCAACAUGUCCGUUUUGCAGGAAGAGUAAUAGAUAACUAAUUGUAAACAAGAAGAAUGAGCAAGCGAAAGGUUUAUUUGAACUGGGCUAACUCAGUUUUAGCUGAUAUAGAUAAAGAAGUAGAAGGGAUCUCCAGUAUACAGGAAGGACAAGUGCUAUGUCAGCUGAUAGAUCUUCUCUGUCCAGAAGCAUGUCUUCUUCAGAAACUACAGGCUUCAGGGACAUCCCAGUUACCAGAACUGUACAUACAGACAGCCUUAGACCACAUGAGGAAGUAUGGCAUUAAACUCAACUUCUCCAGCCAGGAUAUAGCAGAUGGUGAUAUUAAAUCCAUGUUAGAUGUCUUGUGGCUUAUCAUACUUAAUUACGGGAUACACAAUAUAAGUGCAUAUUGUGAUGAUUUUAACACAAGGAGAAAUGCCCAUCAAAGAUCUGUAGGAAUUGGAAAGAAACUUUUAUUGGAAUGGUGUCAACGACAGCUAGAUACAGAUUUUGAUUCUAGGAAUACACUCACAUACAACCUUUGCACUGGUGACUGGUUCAUCAAAUUACUGAAGAAAUAUUCCAGCGUUUCUGCCAUUGCUUCAGAGGAUAAAACUGAGCAGUUGAAGAUCCUUUUGGAUUCAAUAGAAAAACAGUAUUCAAUUAAAAGCAGUAUUAUAAAUGCCUCAGACAUUGUAGAUGGUACAGUAGAUGAGCAUACGUUGAUGAUCUUUGUUUCCCUCCUACAGAGAAAGGUUGAUGGCAGUAGUCUUAUAGAUGAAGGAUCUUCAAGGUCAGAUAGCAGAAAAAAUCCUUCAGAUGAAACCUCAGACUGGUUUUCUACAUCUAAUGGUUCAGGAUCAGAUCCUCAAUUUUCUAGGUUACCAGUAGAAUCAGAAAGUAUAUUAACAAAAACUAUCAGCGAUACAAUUUCUGACCGAUUUCUCGAGGAAGACAAAUUAAGUGCCUUAUCAGGAUCUACUUAUGAUUCAAGGGACAGAACUCUAGAGAGAGAAAGUUCACCGCAUAGUCGUCAUAUUAAUGGAAGCUAUGAACCAAAAAGAGAAAGUAAAUUAACAAGUGAUACCGUCAGAUCAACAUCUCCAUUACGCAGACCAAGAGAUCAUAAAGCAAUAAUGGCGGAGGCAAAGGAAAAAUUAGAAGAGCAAAGACGUAGAAGGGAAGAUGAAGAUCAAAGAGUUAGGGAAAAUGAACAGAAACUUUUUAAAGAAACGGAAGCUAAAAAGAUUGAUACUAGUAUAAAACAUGAUUCAGUGAGGUCGUCACAUGAUGACAUAGAGGAAGUGAUGCGUGAAAACUUGCCACAAUAUUCAACUGGUCCCCCACAGUACUUACCUGGACUAGGGAGAGGUGUUCCAAUUUUCGUGGUACCAGGUCAGAAUCCAGAAACAAUGUUUUUAUUACAAGCCUUGCGUCAGGCUCGUCAUGAAGCAAACUUUCAUGAUCAAGACUCUAGUUCAAAAAGUUCUUCAGAGGAAACUCUUCCUAAAGCUACACUAUUAGAUUUAGAAACUGUUGAUGACAUCCCUCCCUCAGAAUAUCUUCAGUUUGAAUCCGACAAGAAAGCAGAAAUGUCAACUCCUCGUGGUGUUUCACCAAGAAGAACAAAUUAUGUUCCAUCACCUGAAUUUUUACCUACGAAAAAAUCAAUUAUUGAUGUACUUGGAAAUCCACCAGAACCACAAACUAAUGUUGUGGAAUUUCCUUCUUCAGAAAGAGAAACCAGUAGACAUUUCCCACGAGUGGAAAUAAAAGAAGAUGUUAAGGUGAGAAGAGAAAUGGGAAGAGAUCAGAGUGAUGAAAGAAUGUCACCAAGAAGAGACAAUUCAAAUCGACCACUUUCUCCUGGAUAUGAUUUCAUUGAUGAAACUGUUUCUAUUAAUGAUAAAGACACUGUGCCAAAAACUAUUCUUAAAAAGUCAUCAAAUUAUGGAACUUCAAGUAGGGAUUCAAGUUAUGAAAAAACAAGAGAUAGGUCACAAAGCCCAAGGUCAAGUGAACAUGAAAGUGGAUUACGUUCAAGAUCACCACGGGAUCAGAUGGAAAGAGAUCGUUCUUUAAGUAAUGAUAGGACACCUUCUGGUAGAUCAUUAUCACCAAGAUCUAAUAGAUCUCCAAGACAUAGAUCACCUGAUCUAGAUAGGCUAACUGAAAAUUAUGACAGAAUUCAGUCUGGUAAUCAACAUCGAGAUACAGCUCCUGGGAGUAAUUCAGAUUUGGUUGAUCCUAACACGAGACUUGUCAAAGUAUUUCAUCAGGAACUGGAUCUUCUUCGGAUGAAAAUGGAGAUGCUUGAAAAAUCACAUGUACCAGAUGACGGCGAUUUAGAAGAUUUGAAUUCAUUAACACAGAGAUUAAGUGAAAAGAUAAAAGAAAGGUUAAGUAGCAGAUCACCUCGCUCACCAAGGUCACCUAGACAAAGGUCGACCUCACCAGAUUACACAAGAGGUAGACUUUUUCGAAAGAAUGAUAUGGAAUCUCGUUCUUUAUCUGAGAACCGAGUCUCGCCAUCUUCCGAUUGGAGGACUUUGCCUAGUGAAAAAUCUAAUAGUUUACACAAUUUGCCAGUAAGCAUAGAUAAGUCACUUAAAGUGGAUGAUGAUGGGAAAUUACUUUAUUCACCACGGUCACAAGGCAAGCCAAUUACUUUAGGAUAUAGUAGUCCUAUUAGGAAAGUUUCCGAUGAAAUUUGGGGAAUGAGAGAAGAAGAGUUUGCAGGUGUUACAAACGUGCAAAAAGAAAAAUGGAAGAAACUUACUUCUUCCUGUGAUAUAUCAGAUAGCGAUAUUGUAGAAUUGAAACACGCUUUAGGAACAGUAGUUGCUGAAAAUGACAUUUUACAAGCUAAACUUCGAAAUUCAAAUACUGACAUUCAAGAAAAAAUGAGAAAAACAGGAGAAGUUUUAAAUGACUGUAGAUGUCAUUUAUCAAAAGCUCAAGCUGAAAAUAUGGAAUUACGCACACAGUUAGAAAAAGAAAGAAAUAGAAACGAAUCUUUAGAGGCUAGAAUGAGAGAAUUUGAAAAACAAGUUAAAGAUCUCAAAGGUGUUAAUAGUGAACUAGAAUCUGAACUAGAAGAUACCAGAAAGUUACUCAAGGGAUCUAGUAAAAAGGAUAUUCCAACCAUGCAGUCAUUGGCAGAGGAGCGAGAUGGACUUGUCGAGGUGUUAGGUACAACUCAGACUGAAAAUGAAAGACUCAGAGAGGAACUGGAGAGAGCACAGAAAUAUGCAUUUAAAGCACAAACUACUAUUGUUGACCUUAAAAAAAUUGUUGAUGAUGCCAGAAAAGAAAGACAACAAUUAUUUGAGGAAAUAACUAGAUUACAAAGUGAAGGUCACCUUCAAACAAUCACUGGAAUUAUAAAGAAGUAUAUGGACAAAGGAAUAUAUUUAGAUGUUGAACCAAUAAAUGGUUUUAAAAUUCCUAGCAGAUCAGCUUCUCCAACACCUAACGAGAGACGCUGUUCUCCAGUACCCAAACAGAGGCUCAGUAGAUCAGUAGACAGUGUGAUAUCACCAAGGUCAAGGUCAAAGUCACCAAGGGUAGAAACUCCAACAAAGCAUGAGCAUGAAAAUACUGGUAGCAAAUCCUGGUCAAUGUCUGCUCAGCAAACUUAUUCAGGACUUAGUCGUUCAUAUCAGGAACCAACUCCUAGUCAACGCUCUUAUCAGGAUCCUGCUCAGCGAUCUUAUCAACAUUCAAAUCAACGUUCCUACUCACCCGCUCGUCAUUCAUACAAGGAACCAGUCAUGGCUAGCAGUCCACUCAAAACUCCAUACGGAAGAGUUAACGGACUAUCAAUUCCUGUUACACCAGUAGUUAAUGAUAUUAUAUCUGAUGACGACGAUGAUGAUUUUGAUGAUGAAGGCAUUGAAGGAUUUCAUUACAAUUACGAAGAUAUUUCGCCAUCAGUUACAUCAAAUUUAAAAGAAAUUUAUCCUCAUAGAAGAACAAGGUCUUAUAGAAAUAACUUUUCUAGUUCUUUCGAUGAAGGUCGUGUGUCACCAACCGUAGACGAUAUAGAAGUGAACAGAAUAUUAUCACGUCAUCCUGUUAGGUUAGACUUUAAUGAUACAGCUGACAGUUAUAGAAGUAGGUCACCAAGAAGGGAAGAUAACUUUAAUGUGAGCUAUGAGCGAAGCAAAAGUCCAGGCCGUUUAGAUAUAGCCGAUUUAUAUGAAAUGAAACAGCCAGUACGACAACAGAAUUACAACAUCUAUGGCAAUACAAAUAGAAGACCUGUGGCAAGAAGUGAAUCACCUAGUAAUAGAUAUUCAGAUCAGAAAAAUUACAAUGGUAAAUCAGGAGAAAUAAACAAUAGACUAUUUAUGGCCGCUUUAGAUAAUGCCGUCCAUGAAGAGGGUUCUAAAAAAUAUUACGAUGAUCAUGACAUUCCUGAAAAAGAAUCAUGGCGAGACCGUAAAGAUCGGCUUUCAUCAAGCUAUGGGCCUGAAGUAUCUCGGGCAGCUAGAACUGGUGUACGAAGUAACGGGGUCAAAGGAAUUCUUAAGAAUACAAAGGGCGAACAAAACUAUAUGAUAAAACACGGAACCUCAUCGCCUCUACAUCGAUCUGUUUUAGAAAGGUCAGUUUCCCCUGCAGCAAAAACGCCACCAAAUAAUAGAGACAUUAACAAAAAUUAUAGCAAGCUAGCAAAUAGUAGUUUAGCAAAUAACAAAACUUUUGGUAAUUCGGGUAAACCAUCAUUAGCUUCAGCUAGUUCAGGCAAGCCCUUGUUUUCAGGAGCUAGUAAGAAAUCUGGCAUUGUACGGAAUCCUAAGGAUUUAUUUGCUGAUGUUAGUCUUUCUCCUGUACGCACCGCUUCACCAUCUAAAUAUCAGCACACACCACUAUUAACUGUCAAAUAAAACAGGGUGAAAUUGCACACUUGAGAUUCCCUGCACAUUUAUUUCCACAUUUAUUUCACGCAUUUGUGUAAAUGUUGUAAUGUUCAUGUUGAUGUCUACUCAAUUGUUUAUCAUGAAUUAAUUGUUUAUGUUUUUAUUCUGUAUCAAUAUAUACUGUUGCUUCAUGUCCUGUGUUCAGUAUAUAAUAUAUAAGUUACCAAUGAAAGUCAGAUUUAUUUCAUUGCAGUGCCAUGUUCUGUUUUGCAAUCUUCUUACAACAAAUCUUGCAAUAAAUAAAUUGUAUUCAACUUCUUACUUAUUUUUUAUAUAUUAAAAAACAUUUAAAUAAUUUUAUUUGAUCACUUUUAAAUGUUUCUAAGUGCAUUUGACAUUAUUGAAAUCAGAAAAUGGCAUUGAAAUGUUCUGAUGAAACUAACAGUUAGUGUUUGGAAGUUUGAGAUAUUUAUAUAUUCACCUCCAAGAAUUAUCUACUUGUCAUAAAGUUGAAUAUCUAGAGUUACUUGCCCUUUAUUUUUGGUGUCCACUUGGAAUUCACUUACAUAACUCCCAUUGGUGACUUUAUUAAUUUGAAGGAUUACUUUUGUGCUAUAUUAUUCUGAAAUAAAUUCUUCCCAAAAAAAGGGGAAUACAAAAGAACUCUAUAUCUACAUUGACACUCAAAAAUUACAAAUCUGUUGUGCAAAGGAAGAUAACUCUAGAAUGAAAAUGAUUGACAAGUAGAGAAUAAAUACUAUAUAUGGAUGUUCUCUAAUUCUAUAGUAAGCAUCUGUAUAAGAAGCACAGAAAAAUCAUCCAUUAUUUAAUUGUGGUUUAAUGAUGACAGAAUAUUUAAAUGAAAAAAAGUAUUUGUAGAACAAAACAAGCAUAGAAGUUCCUGUCAAAGAAUAGAUACAUGAAAACAAAGCAUAUUAAAUCACAUUGUACAAAUGUAAUAUGUAUUUUAGUCCUUUAUGGAGGUUCAGACGUUUUUCAAUUUCUCUGUGCUUCUUUCCUUUAUUGUUGACCUUCAACUUUAAAAUUUGGUGUGGUUGACCUUGAAUUGCAUUAACAGCAGCAAAUAGAUUUUAAAAAAUCAUUAUGAUACAAUUUUUGUGGGAUAUAUAAACUAGUCAUAUUAUUUACAAUGCUAAUUACAGGUUUUUUUUAUGGUUUAAUAAAAACAUUAAUAUACUAAUUUUAACAAUACUUUUCAACAACACAAAUUUGUUUCAUCAGUUUUUCACAAUUAAAAUAUGUUAUGUUCAAAACCCAUCAAUUUUAUGAGGUAGAUAUAUAAAAUAUAUCUCUUAAGUGGUGUUAUAUAAAAAAAAAGCGUAAAUACAUAAAUGCUAUCUAUACUCAACCAUUAUAUAAUCAAGAAUUCUACACACUGAGGGAAUACUCUAUUGUUCUACCAUAGCCUUUAGACGAAAUCAGAUUUCUGUAUCUCUCUAUAAGUAGACAAUCUUCUUUUGCACAGUGAUUCUCCUAUACCUCAAUUAACUGAGGAAGAAAAGAGAUAUGCAGAUCUACUUGUAGACAAAUAUACAAAGCAGCUUGGAUUCAAUACCAUUUACAGCUGAAAUUAUAGAUGUCCAAGUUACAGAAUUAAUUGUACUAGUGCUGCUACUUUCCGUUAAAAGAUUUUUUAUAUCUCUUUUCUGUAUUUUAUGAAUUUUGCUAGACAUUUUUCUCACAGAAAAAUCAUUGAUUUUCUUUUUUGUGAAAAAUAACUAUUAAUUGUUGUCUCCCUUACAUUGUGAAACCUGGUUAAAGGGGAGAUAAGCAAAUUUUGCUUGUAAUUUUUUGUAGAAUCUUUUUCUCAUAUAUUUCAAAUGUGAUUUUAUUUAUUGCCCUAUUUCUGCUUUAUGUAUAUUGAUAUGCAGUUCAUAUAUGAUUAAGCAUUACCGCAGCUAGUUUAUUUAAACUAGAAAAAGUUUUUCAAGAUUUCUUACAUUAGGUUUUUAUAGACUUUUAUAAUGAGAGAAGGAACUGUUUAAAAUGUUCAUCAAAUUUUGCCACCAAAAGGUGCUUUAGAUAGAAAAAAGUCAGUAUUUGAAUUCUGAAAAUAGAACAGUUUUUUUUAUCUUCGCCAGUAUAUGAAGUAAUUAGGAUUGUUUUUGUAUUCACAAGUGUUAAAUUAUGUGUUUUAAUGCGAAAUGCUGUGAUAGUAUUGCUAAGUUAUUUAUUUUUCAGAUAUUUUUUUUAUUAUUAUUAUUUGCCCCAUCCCACAUUUAAGGGGGGGGGGGAUCUAUCAGAUUAUCAGAUUUACCUAACUUCAAUUAAUAAAGUCCAUAUUUAUAAUAUUCCAUGAUGGAAUUAUAAAUAAAGUUCUAUGUUCAGUACAAUAUUUGGGUGACCGUGAGUUUAACCUACAUUUCAAAAUUGUAUUUUAACACACUGUACUACAGUCUUGAACAGUACCAGACUCUUCAGCAUCAUUUAUGUGAUUAAACCAAUAUUUAUAUUAUUGGACCAAAUAUUUUUUCAUUUUUUGAAUGGGACACUUGUGUCUUACAGACACAUCAUGUAUUUUUAAAAAAUUUCAUUGUUAUAAUAUCAUUUUAUUUAUAAAAUUCCAUUCCGUCCAAAUUUGUUUUGUAGCUUUUAAUUAAUAUAUUGUAUUUUUAUCCAUACUCCAAAUCCACUAUGUCUUUGAUUGAAAAUAUUUCUCUUUUUUAAAGGUUUUACAAGUCAUGCAAGUGUGUAGUACAUGUACACAUUUUUCAAAAUUUCUAAUGGUGUAUAAUUUUUUUUAUUGUUUUAUGUCAUGUUACAUUUGUACUUCUUUUUGUGAAAUUUUGUUUUUUAUAUCUUGUAAUGAAGAAUAUAAGUUAUCACAAAUUAGAUUAAAAAAUUUCUAUUAUUUUUGUUUUAAACUUUUAAUUUUACACUUUUAAAAGAUCUUAAAUGAUAAAAUCCAUUUUUUAUUUGACAUCAUUUGAUGUUUUUAAAAAGCAUUCUUCUUGAUAAUAUUAUAAAGCAUUUAUCCAAUAUCUCAAGUUUAAUCCCAUUUGUAUAAAAAACAUAAUUUUUUUAAUCUCAGGAUUCAUAAGUAUAUGCAUUUAAAAAAUCCAAUUGCAAGUACAUAAAUAUAUAUAUGUUGACUAAAAUUAUUGAAUUUAUCCUUCAAUCAGGUACUUUUUGUAUAAAUAACAGUUUAACAAAUAAUUUUUUGCUUUGGUCCUGCUUAGAAUAAUUGUAAUGUAAAAAACCUCACAGUAAGUUUCCAGGUCCUGUUCAUGGCGCUAGUUGAUUUCCAUGUUGAUUUCUAUAAUUUAGAAGAGAUUGUUUGGGAUUUACAAAAUUUAAUUUUAAAAGCAUUAAGGGUAAAUUUUGUACUCACUUUGAAACAGGAGGAAAGCUUGAGAUACAUCCUUUUUGUACUGUUUCAUAAGCCUUCACAAAUAAAUUUCAUUUGUUGCCUAUUAUGUAAUAUUUUAUAUGUAUUUUUGUCCCCCGCUAUCAAAGGACAAGGUGCAAAUUGUUUGUCAUUUGUUCAUUUGACGAGGAAGCGUUUAAACAAAAACACUUUAUUCUUAUUUUCAAAAUUUUUAUUUUUUUAAUUAGUCCAAGAUAACUUAACUGUUUUCAGUAUUGUGAUGGUUUCCGUCCAGGUAGAGGGAAAGUAAUUUAUUUAAAUUUUUACAUUUUUAUCACAUUCCAUAUUUAUAUAUAAGCAUCAUCUGUGAUAUAUUUUAUAAUAAAUUAGUAUUUAUAAAUUUGUAUUAUUUUUCUUAUACAAAAGUCCAUGUAAGUGCAUUAUUCAUAUUUUAUUUUAUUGCCUGCAACCAUAGUUUCAGUAGCAUGACUUUGGCCUGCUGCAGUUUCUGCUGGCUGCAUCACCAAUUAUUUAAGUUUGUGAUUAGGUGGCAAAAUCAAGACAUUUCUCUUCAAAACAUUUAAUUAAUAUGAAACAGUUCACCACUCCAAAAGGUUGAGAAUUAUUUCAUUUUCAUCAUUUUGAAUUGUUUUUAACAGUUAACAGUUCCUAAAGGGU